rnacentral:rRNA from 1 species
UACAGAGGGGGCAAGCGUUAUUCGGAAUUAUUGGGCGUAAAGGGCGCGUAGGCGGCUUCGCAAGUGACGGGUGAAAUCCCUCGGCUUAACCGAGGAACUGCCUGUCAAACUGCGUGGCUUGAGACCAGGAGAGGUGAGUGGAAUUCCCAGUGUAGCGGUGAAAUGCGUAGAUAUUGGGAGGAACACCAGUGGCGAAGGCGGCUCACUGGACUGGUACUGACGCUGAGGCGCGAAAGCGUGGGGAGCAAACAGG